UACGUAGGGUCCAAGCGUUAUCUGGAAUCACUGGGCGUAAAGCGUGCGUAGGCGGAUGUUUAAGUGCAAUGCGAAAUCCUGUGGCUCAACCAUAUGGACUGUAUUGCAUACUGGAUAUCUGGAGGAAUGCAGAGGCAAGUGGAAUUACCGGUGUAGCAGUGAAAUGCGUAGAGAUCGGUAGGAACACCAAUGGCGAAGGCAGCUUGCUGGGCAUUUUCUGACGCUAAGGCACGAAAGCGUGGGGAGCGAACAGG
rnacentral:rRNA from 1 species